ACGCGUUGACCAAUAGCGCUGCGUUUCCACCAGGGGGCAGCUGUCAAUCAUCGAGCACGAGCAGGUCUCAGCGUGCACAACAGUGUCACGCGCCUCACUCGGCUUACUGCAGAAACAUGGAGCAACAAAACCCCAAAUUACUGAUUCCUCGACUGCCUUCCACAUCUCAAAAAACAUUUAAAAAGUUUAAAAGCCCUUCUUCAAAAGUGGCUGUAAGACGUUUGAGACAGUUGAGUAGAAUUAACAUUGGAGAUUGUUUUACACACGAUGGAGAGAUUUUCGUGAUCUACACAGCCUGAAAACGGAUGAAGAGUUGGCAAAGUAUCUUUUAGACAGUCAUCAGUCCAAAUAUGAAGCAUCAACAUCUACACCAUUGAAGCGCCAACUGUGUAUUUCUCCAACACCAGUGCCAGCUCUGUCUAGCAUUCAUGGAGAAUCAUCUGAAAGGGAUGAUAAUUUGGAGGAGGUGAUGGAACAAGGUGAAACUAAAAAAGAAGGAUCUUCACAAAUGAUAGAGUCAUCAGAUGACACAUGGUCACCAAACAGAGAACCAGAAGUUGAUUCGUCUUCAGAGGAGGACGAAACCAUCUAGAUGGACAGCGGUACUGAUGACAGCGGUGAUGAGGACUACACACCUUAUAUACACAUAAGGACUGGAGCAGCAUUACAAAAAACAUUACAACUUGAGACUCUGCAAGAAAUUAACAUAGAGGAUACAGUUCAUGACUGUAAUAUCCCAGAAGCAACUGACCGACGUUUGACAAGCAAGAAAGGUCUUCCUCGACGCUACAAGCUAAGGCCUGAGGAUCCAAGGCGUUAUGGUUUGCUGUCCGGAGUUCCUGCACCAUCAACAGAGGAACUUCUACAACACCUACGGACUUGCGGUGAUGGUAAAACUUUGCCACAGACAUAGGUGUUGGGGGAGGCAAGAGAAAACCCAAAACCUUCUUUAUUUUUGUUUCCUGUGUUUUUUUUUGUUUGUUUUUUUGAAAAUAAAGAUAUAUUUUGGGGAAAUAAGGACUAAUAAUUUAAAAAUGUAUGUAAAAUGUUGGAGGUAGACAUAAUUUUUUGUUGUUGUGCAGGAGUUUUAAAAUUUAUGGUAUUUUUACAAAUGCAACACAGAGUUAUGCUUUAGAACACUUUAUUUGAGCAUCAAACAAAAAUAUCUAAAAACAAACUUAUGUAAAAUAUCAAAUAUAUACAUUUAUUUACAAUCGUCUUGGAAUAAAACCAGUGUAGUUACCAUUGGGGUCAGGGAAUUUUGCAGAAUAAAUCCUCCAUGUGUGGUACAGUUGAAAUACAUGUCUGGGGAGGCUGUUGGCAGCAUUUCUUUUCCAAAUCAGUUGGCAUAUCUCUGCAGUGGGAGCAUACACACCAUGAAGGUUGAUUGGGUGUUGGAUGUGUUGUGGCAGGUGGACCAGAGAGGGCAAGUACAUCAAAGAGAACACCAGUGUCUGUCCAGCACCAUGGUAAGGAUGUCAAUAGCCUGCUGAGGGUUCAGGUUCUGUAUGUGUUGCUACAAAAGUGGAAAGAGAUGCUACAGCAACAGUUAUGCUUACACGUUCAAAGUCUAUUCGCUCGGAACAAAGAUUCCGAACUCGAGAGAGAUCAUCUCCAAGGUCCACAGCUGAGUGUCUCACACUUCUUUGGCCUCUGGAUGCACCGCGGCCUCUAGACACACCACGGCCUCUGGAUGCACCACGGCUUUGAGAUGAUGGUGGGCAUCUCCUUUUUGCACCACGUCUUGAGGAUGCAAUAGGAGGUUCAAACUCUUCCUCAGAGGAUUCCUCAAUCACUGAACUCUAAAUU